CGGUGACAUCAAAGGCUGUUCACCAAACUCAUUUUAGCUCGGAAGUAUGACACAGCAGAAAGGGUCUGUCUAUGCAAGACUAUCGCAAUAGUUGACAAUGAGACGGUGGAUUUCAUACCGUGUGGAUGGAUCUCCUGUGACUGAACAAGCAACAGUUGAGGAAGAGACUGCGGAUUUCAUACAGUGUGGAUGAAUCUCCUGUGACUGAACAAGGUUACAUUUGUCGAAUUGUCACCAGCAGUUUUUCAGUAAUGUGAGUAAGGGUGACUGUUAGUUUGUACUGAUUUUCGAACAUCUUGCUUACUGUGUGACUGUUGUUGUAGUGUUUUGGGGGC